GGCGAGGGGCCGCGGCGUUCCCUGCUUCGUGUGGUGACGGGUGAGCCGGGGGAGGGUCUCACGUCUCCCCCGGCACCCAGGGAGCGGUAGGAACCAGGAAGCGGUUUCUGUCCUCGUUACUAGUGCGUGGCAAAGUUUCCCUCCCUCAGGGUGUCGACCCCCUUGCCCUGAGGGGGCCCAAAUGCUUCUGGGGAACGGAACUCCCAACCGCCAUUCCCAUUUCUGACCACUGAAAAGCAAACUGACCCUUGAAGUGAGCUCCGUCUGGAAUGGAUCCAGUUGUCGUUCAUCUCUUCUUCAGACUAACAGGUGAAUAAGCUACCAUCUCUAUGCAAAAUAAAGGCAGCGCUGUGUGAACUGCUGAUUGCGUGUAUACCUGCUACCAAAGCUACAAGCAUCUCAAUGUGAAGUAGAGGGAUGACAACCUGCAGAGACUGAAAUUCUCCAGGAAGGAAACUUCAUGUAUUUGAGGAAGUGCUAAGCAUCAUGAUGGUAUUUAGUGACUGUUGCAGGCGUAAUUGGAAUAUCAUUGGAAGCAGAAGAGUGUGAAUGAUGAGUUUUUAGUCAGCACAUGACACCACAUACACGUUCAGUUAAUAGAAAAUAAGCAGCUCAAGCAGAGAGAGCCUGUGCUAGAGAUGUCCCAUUCAGACAACCAGCCCAACAAGACAUCCAGAGGCACAGCGUGCUCCCGGGCUGUGAGAUGCUUAGAGUCCAGAAGGAAAGUAUGGCAACUGCAUGAAGCUGUCAUCCACUACAGGGCAGUCACACAGUGAUAGGAUCCCAGAGUGAAGCCCACUUUUCUUCACCUGCGUGUUUGCUAGGGCUGUUUAGACCUUUCUGAAGAGGAAACCUGUUAGCAUCAAAAUCCAAUAAAAGCAAGAAAAAAAUCUCAGCAGUGAUGAAGCAAGGCGAUACAUUUGGAAUGGCAGUGUCCAAGGGGCACUCACCUAUUCCUCGUGGAAAAAGGGCUCCUCCUUUUUGUGCACAUCUUCUUUGCAUACAAGGCCAUCCUCCAGACAAUGGGGAAUACCCAACUUUAAGCCAAUUUAUCCAUGUGCUUUUGUUGUGAAAUAAGUGGAGAAAAGACAGCAAAAUACCCAUGCUAAGAGUGACAACUUACAGGUUU